CCCCUCUCAGAGUCACAACUGGAGAGUUUUCAGUCCUCUACCAGUCUUGGCUAUAGGAGGAAGAUCAAGCAGAGGUCUACCUACUCCAUUCGUAGCUUGGGCAGUGGCUAGUGAGUGGAAGGCAAUCUGCUACAAGU